rnacentral:rRNA from 1 species
UUGUUGGUAAGGUAAAAGCUUACCAAGGCUUCGAUCAGUAGCUGGUCUGAGAGGACGACCAGCCACACUGGGACUGAGACACGGCCCAGACUCCUACGGGAGGCAGCAGUGGGGAAUUUUGGACAAUGGGGGCAACCCUGAUCCAGCCAUGCCGCGUGAGUGAAGAAGGCCUUCGGGUUGUAAAGCUCUUUCAGCCGGAACGAAACGGUUACGGAUAACACCCGUGACUACUGACGGUACCGGAAGAAGAAGCACCGGCUAACUACGUGCCGGCAGCCGCGGUAAUACGUAGGGUGCGAGCGUUAAUCGGAAUUACUGGGCGUAAAGCGUGCGCAGGUGGUUUCGUAAGUCAGAUGUGAAAGCCCCGGGCUCAACCUGGGAACUGCGUUUGAAACUACAAGACUAGAGUGUGGCAGAGGGGGGUGGAAUUCCGCGUGUAGCAGUGAAAUGCGUAGAGAUGUGGAGGAACACCGAUGGCGAAGGCAGCCCCCUGGGUCAACACUGGCGCUCAGGCACGAAAGCAUGGGGAGCAAACAGGAUUAGAUACCCUGGUAGUCCAUGCCCUAAACGAUGUCAACUAGUUGUCGGGCCUUUACGGGCUUGGUAACGUAGCUAACGCGUGAAGUUGACCGCCUGGGGAGUACGAUCGCAAGAUUAAAACUCAAAUGAAUUGACGGGGACCCGCACAAGCGGUGGAUUAUGUGGAUUAAUUCGAUGCAACGCGAAAAACCUUACCUACCCUUGACAUGUAUCGAAGCCCGCAGAAAAGCGGGGGUGCCCGAAAGGGAACGAUAACACAGGUGCUGCAUGGCUGUCGUCAGCUCGUGUCGUGAGAUGUUGGGUUAAGUCCCGCAACGAGCGCAACCCUUGUCAUUAAUUGCCAUCAUUUAGUUGGGCACUUUAAUGAGACUGCCGG